CGUUUAGGCGGGUGACUAAGUUCGCUAUGAAAGCGCCGGGCUAAACCCGGCGAGGCUGGCGGAUACUGGUGAUCUGGAGUGAGGUAGAGGGAAGUAGAAUUCCGCGUGUAGUGGUGAAAUGCGUAGAGAUGCGGAGGAAUACCAGUGGCGAAGGCGACUUCCUGGACCUUAACUGACGCUGAAGCGCGAAAGCAUGGGGAGCGAACGGGAUUAGAAACCCCGGUAGUCCAUGCCGUAAACGAUGUGCACUAAACGUUCGGUUUCCGCGAGGGAGCUGGGUGUUGAAGCUAACGCGGUAAGUGCACCGCCUGGGGAGUACGGUCGCAAGGCUAAA
rnacentral:rRNA from 1 species